rnacentral:rRNA from 1 species
AAACCGGACAGAACCAACAGGGAUUGCCUUAGUAACUGCGAGUGAAGCGGCAAAGCUC